rnacentral:rRNA from 1 species
AACCGAGAUUCCCCCAGUAGCGGCGAGCGAACGGGGAGCAGCCCAGAGCCUGAAUCAGUGUGUGUGUUAGUGGAAGCGUCUGGAAAGGCGCGCGAUACAGGGUGACAGCCCCGUACACAAAAAUGCACAUACUGUGAGCUCGAUGAGUAGGGCGGGACACGUGGUAUCCUGUCUGAAUAUGGGGGGACCAUCCUCCAAGGCUAAAUACUCCUGACUGACCGAUAGUGAACCAGUACCGUGAGGGAAAGGCGAAAA